rnacentral:lncRNA from 1 species
GAGGAAAAUUUCCUCUUCUGGAUCUAUUCGCCUCAGGGUAAGCAUCUGUUCUGCUCCUUCUUCUUGAUUUAUCUACGGGUCAUUUCUUCGUUUCUUAUGUGUCUCUGUUGGGUAAUGAUUGGAUCUGACAGGUUCGAGAGAUCUGAGGAAAGAGGAGAGUUAAGGAGGAGACUAGAAUAUGGCGCAUAGAGUAGAUCAUGAGUAUGAUUAUCUAUUCAAGAUCGUGCUGAUUGGAGACUCUGGUGUGGGAAAAUCUAAUAUCCUUUCCAGGUUUACCAGAAAUGAGUUCUGUUUGGAAUCCAAAUCCACCAUCGGUGUCGAAUUCGCCACUAGGACUCUUCAGGUAAUCUUCAAAUCUUUCUCUCUAUCCUUUGAUUUUCUCUGUUAUCUGCAGUUACAUGUCGAUCCGUUCAUCUUCUGGCUUCUGAAUCGUUCUCUUGUUUAUUGCCUAGCAUAUUAUGGUUAUUAUUUUUGUGAUACGGAAAUGAAAUCUCUUAGAUUUUAAGAUUGGAAAAUUGUUGAUUGGAACUUCUUGUCAUUUUCUGGACAAGGUGGACGUAGAUACAUACUUGCUGGUAUCUGUAUUGUUUUAGAUUUGUAUAUUGGCUUUCCAAUAAGGCGAUGAAGCAACCACAGACUAGUGGCUAUGCUUGCAGAAUGAGUUGCGGGUGAGAUAUUUGUGAGUGGGAAAAAUAAUUUCUUCCGAUUCCACUAAUAACAGGCCUUAAUUGAAGUUCAGCACUGUGGGAUCUAUUGUGCAAGAGGGAGAUUGCACGUACCCUUAUACUGUUAAUGGCUUCGUGUGGGAGAAGCCGAGUGUCUUAGAAGUUUUCUUCUGGUUGUUGAGCGAUGAAAUAUCACCAACUAAUUUGUUUUCAUAGCUAAAGAUACAUCUUUACAUGGAUCCCUAUGAUCUUCUCAUGUGGAACUGACUUGAUUGAUGAAGUGCUAUUGAUGAUCUUUCGUUACAA